AGCAGCCGCGGUAAUUCCAGCUCCAAUAGCGUAUAUUAAAGUUGUUGCAGUUAAAAAGCUCGUAGUUGAAUUUCGGGGUUAGUAGGUUGGUCAUGCCUCUGGUAUGUACUGGUCUCACUGAUUCCUCCUUCCUGAUGAACCGUAAUGCCAUUAAUUUGGUGUUGCGGGAAUUUGGACUGUUACUUUGAAAAAAUUAGAGUGUUUAAAGCAAGCUAACGCUUGAAUACAUUAGCAUGGAAUAAUGAAAUAGGACGUUCGAUCCUAUUUUGUUGGUUUCUAGGAUUGACGUAAUGAUUAAUAGGGAUAGUUGGGGGCAUUAGUAUUCAAUUGUCAGAGGUGAAAUUCUUGGAUUUAUUGAAGACUAACUACUGCGAAAGCAUUUGCCAAGGAUGUUUUCAUUAAUCAAGAACGAAAGUUAGGGGAUCGAAGACGAUCAGAUACCGUCGUAGUCUUAACCAUAAACUAUGCCGACUAGGGAUCGGAUGAUGUUAAUUUUUAAUGACUCAUUCGGCGCCUUACG
rnacentral:rRNA from 1 species